ACGGUUUCCUCGAGAACGAGAUCCUCAGCUCACGCGGUCUACGACUCAAGUGUUUUAUUGAUUAGAGAUUCGUUUAAAUUAACAUUGUUUCGAAAUGUUCCGCUUACCUUUUGGUGAAAGGGUCGACCCCAUGGAGGAGAAACGACAAGCUAGAGAAAACACUAUCAAUAGUGUUAUUACAUUCUGUAUACUCUGCGCUGCCAUAAGAGUCGCCCCACUGAUCCUGGAGCAUAGCGGCAUUUAAACGACCCCAGCAGCCAUCAUUAUAUUACUCCGCCAUUCUGUUUUACGCUACCAUGGCAGCGAUCAUUCAUCCACUCCUCCAUGGCCUGUUUCUAUCCAAAUAGUAUGAAAUAAAAUUAUUUUAAUUGUUAUUUUAA